rnacentral:rRNA from 1 species
UCCGGUGGCAAUAGCGGAGGUUAAAAACCCGUUCCCAUACCGAACACGGAAGUGAAGCCCUCCAGCGCCGAUGGUACUGAUUUUUCGGGAGAGUAGGUCGCUGCCGGUA